ACAGCAGUCGCCGCGGUAACACGGAGGGGGCUAGCGUUGUUCGGAAUUACUGGGCGUAAAGCGCACGUAGGCGGCUUGGUAAGUUAGAGGUGAAAGCCCGGAGCUCAACUCCGGAAUUGCCUUUAAGACUGCCGAGCUAGUAGGUGAGAGAGGUAAGUGGAAUUCCGAGUGUAGAGGUGAAAUUCGUAGAUAUUCGGAAGAACACCAGUGGCGAAGGCGGCUUACUGGCUCAUUCUAGACGCUGAGGUGCGAAAGCGUGGGGAGCAAACAGGAUUAGAUACCCCUGUAGUCCCUGUCUCUUAUAC
rnacentral:rRNA from 1 species